rnacentral:siRNA from 1 species
CUAGCCCGGAUUCUGACUUAG